UGGGGAAUAUUGGACAAUGGGCGAAAGCCUGAUCCAGCCAUGCCGCGUGUGUGAAGAAGGUCUUCGGAUUGUAAAGCACUUUAAGUUGGGAGGAAGGGCAGUAAGCGAAUACCUUGCUGUUUUGACGUUACCGACAGAAUAAGCACCGGCUAACUCUGUGCCAGCAGCCGCGGUAAUACAGAGGGUGCAAGCGUUAAUCGGAAUUACUGGGCGUAAAGCGCGCGUAGGUGGUUCGUUAAGUUGAAUGUGAAAGCCCCGGGCUCAGCCUGGGAACUGCAUCCAAAACUGGCGAGCUAGAGUAGGGCAGAGGGUGGUGGAAUUUCCUGUGUAGCGGUGAAAUGCGUAGAUAUAGGAAGGAACACCAGUGGCGAAGGCGACCACCUGGGCUCAUACUGACACUGAGGUGCGAAAGCGUGGGGAGCAAACAGG
rnacentral:rRNA from 1 species